GGGAGAAUAGCUUAGUGGUAGAGCAUGUGCUUGGCAUGCACAAGGUCUUGGGUUUAAUCCCCAGUGCCUACG
rnacentral:tRNA from 1 species